CACAUGGAUGACUGGGCAGAUCACAGCUGGAUGACCAGGUGGACAUGACCAGCAAGAACAGCAGCGAUAGCACCUGCACCUUUUGCUGAGCUCUACUUCCUUCAUCUAACACCCUUGGCUUUGGGAUACUGUGAGGUCAGCAUCAUGCCUCUGACAUGCCCCUCUGCAAUGCCAUCCUACCUUGGGGCCAGCCAACCAUGGAAUGAAAGGAAUAAGCAUGUCCUCUGGAGAUUUGUUGCCUCCUGAUUCAAACACAAGCACCACCUGAGCCCACUGGCUCCUUAUAGGAUGGCACCCAGAUGGCUUGCAGCAGCUCCCCAAUGAGGCCAGCCUCCCAGCCACACACCUCGUACUCAACAAGUGGCCUCUGUAUAU